rnacentral:rRNA from 1 species
GACAGAGGGUGCAAACGUUGUUCGGAAUUACUGGGCGUAAAGCGCGUGUAGGCGGCGUAGCAAGUCGGGCGUGAAAGCCCACGGCUCAACCGUGGAAGAGCACUCGAAACUGCUGCGCUAGAGUUCUGGAGAGGAAGGCGGAAUGCUUGGUGUAGAGGUGAAAUUCGUAGAUAUCAAGCGGAACACCGGUGGCGAAGGCGCCU